rnacentral:lncRNA from 1 species
AUACCUAGUAUGUAGCUGUCGUCUCCUGGCAUCCUAGCAGCAGCUGUCCUGUCUCAUUCCUCUGCCCUUCUCCCUGCUUCCACAUAACUACUCUGUCCUGAAAAUCCUUCCACCUCUUCUUCUAUUAUCUCUUCUCUCUAAAGCCCGUAGUCUUAUUAUGAGCUUUCUUUAACUGUUUUAAUUACUCCUUCUCACCUUUUACAAUCACUCCAAUAAAGUUUUCAUCCUGUCAUUUACAAGAUCAUCCUGCCCCUCUUCUUUUUGUUCUUUCUCUUGCAUUCUUCCACCUGCAUACUCCUUAGGGUCAUUCCUCAAUCCUAAAUAAAUGUAAUCAUGUCCAAUUCUUUUUUUUUUUUUUUUUGAGACAGAGUCUCGCUCUGUUGCCCAGGCUGGAGUGCAGUGACACAAUCUCAGCUUACUGCAACCUCCUCCACCUCCCAGGUUCAAACAAUUCUCCUGCCUCAGCAUCCCGAGUAGCUGGGACCACAGGCAUGCACCACCAUGCCCAGCUAACUUUUGUAGUUUUAGUAGAGACAGGAUUUCACCAUGUUGACCAGGCUGAUCUUGAACUCCCGACCUCAGGUGAUCCACCUGCCUAGGCCCCCCCAAAGCGCUGGUAUUAUAGGCGUGAGCCACCGAGCCUGGCCUAAUCAUGUCCAAUUUAAUCUGAGUUCCCUUUUCCUUUCCUACCACUUGUUUUCCAGGACUCAAGCAAGCAAAUGUACCAGGUCUUUUCAUAUCCCCAUGUAUCUGCUCGAGUUGUUCUCUCUGGAAGGCUCCUCCCUCUUUAUCCACCUAUUGAAAUCCUAUUCAUUUUUCAAGGUCCUGAUCAUACGUAAUCUCUUUUAUGAAGUCUCCCUUAUUUUCCACUCCUGCCAUAAUUAACGACUCCCAUUAACCCCAAGACAACUGCACAACUAACGCAAACAUAAAAAGUUGGUUGUAUCUAUGAAUGCAGAGAUAGCAGAGCUGGGAGAGAUGACCAUGAACCAGGUUGUCCAGCUCUGUUUACAAGGAGGGAAAAUAUGACAAAGAGAGGAGAGGAGCAUACCUCAGUGAGUAGAGCUCAGCAGACUUCUGGACUCCAGCUCCACCACUUACCACUUACCAAGUGUUACAGAACCUCCCUGAACUUCAAUCUCUUCAUCUGUAAAAUGCUGAAAGUAAUCUUACCCACCUCAAAGGGCUGCCUGGAGGAUUAAACCUGAUACUCUAGGUAAAGAGCUUAGCAUGGAGCCUGGCACAUCAUAUAUGCCCAAUAGAUAUUUGGGAUGUUUAUUACUUGGGAAUAAAGAAGGUACAAAUGAAUGAUUUCCUUUGUGUUAUUUAGGUCAGUUUGCCACAGUACAA